UACGUAGGGUGCGAGCGUUGUCCGGAAUUAUUGGGCGUAAAGAGCUCGUAGGCGGUCUGUCGCGUCGGUCGUGAAAACUUGGGGCUUAACCCUGAGCUUGCGGUCGAUACGGGCAUGACUGGAGUUCGGGUAGGGGAGACUGGAAUUCCAGGUGUAGCGGUGAAAUGCGUAGAUAUCUGGAGGAACACCGGUGGCGAAGGCGGCC
rnacentral:rRNA from 1 species